UCGCGGCUUAUCACCGGCAGUCUCAUUAGAGUGCCCAACUAAAUGUAGCAACUAAUGACAAGGGUUGCGCUCGUUGCGGGACUUAACCCAACAUCUCACGACACGAGCUGACGACAACCAUGCAGCACCUGUGUUCCGAUUCUCUUUCGAGCACUCCCCAAUCUCUCGGGGAUCUCGGACAUGUCAAGCGUAGGUAAGGUUUUUCGCGUUGCAUCGAAUUAAUCCACAUCAUCCACCGCUUGUGCGGGCCCCCGUCAAUUCCUUUGAGUUUUAACCUUGCGGCCGUAGUCCCCAGGCGGGGCACUUAAUGCGUUAGCUGCGGCACUCAGGGGGUCAAUACCCCGAACACCUAGUGCCCAUCGUUUACAGCGUGGACUAC
rnacentral:misc_RNA from 1 species